UUUCUUAAACCCAAAUCUUGCAUUUCGCUCGCAUUCGGCAUCUGGUCUGGAUUUCCAAAUAAGACCCGCGCUCAGCUUCCAGUAAGAAAAGCCAAUUCGCGCCGCAGCCGGACUCACCGCGCUCUGCACACCUGUCGUUGAUUCCGAAGUCCCGCAAAUGUCGAAAAAGGACAACCUUGAAUGAUUGCACCCUACACCCGAGAUGCUAUGAAACUCUCAAAGCAAACAAAAACGUUUGGAGAGCAAGCAAUUGGACUCUUCCACAAAAACAAUCUGUUUCCCUGUCGUGACAGUGACCUACAAGCGCAGCACCAAGUGUUAGCAUUUCCGCUCUCCUGUAGGACUCUCCACAGAACACGCAUGGAUUGGAUUUGUCAAAUGUGCCAGUUCCUCAGAUUCUUAUGAAGCAGAUUCAGAGUUGUCCUACGCUCUUCUUCAUCUAUAAGUCGUACAUUAAGCUGCUUCUGUUGUGCAGAUAUUAAAAUGUUUGUGAAGGGA